CUAACUCACAGUUUGUCACUUUUCUCAACAGAACAUCGAUACUACUGUGCGCUUUUGGUUGUGUUGGUUACCCGUGGCAACUCGACAGUGUGCAGCUGCCCUCCAGCUCCUCUCCAUCUCCAUCUCCCUCUACUUCUAUCACAUCUGUCUUUACUGGCCCUUCUAUCCACUCUAUCUAUUAUUGGUUCUCUUCACCUCUCUCCUAUAACAUCUACCACUCAUCCC